CCACAUUGCUCAGUGGAAUAAGUCAAUCCCAGAAGGACAACUAUCAUAUGUUCUCUCUGAUAUAAAGCAACCUUCAUGCAAAAUGUAUGAUCAAUAGCCCUUCCAAUACUGUUUCUGCUACAUUUAAAGGAUUUUGAA